GCUUUGUCAUGUUGCAAAAAAAUGGGCAGGAAUUAAAACCCCUCCCUGUUUACUUCUCAGAUUGCUAUGAGAAUAAAUAUUUGAAAAUAUUUUGUAAAUGAAAGUUUUCAGCUUUUGUAUUUUGAUUUUGUUUUCAAAACUACAAAAGGAAAUUUAUUUCAACAGCAAAAGAGAACAUUUACAUUCGAACACAAUGAUGAAAGGAUGUCCCGCGAAAGGAAAAAAACAGCCCGUAACAUGAAGUUUUUUAUUUGAAUUUCUGAAACAAAAUAACUUGGGGAUUCUUGCCUUAGGAAAGGAAAGGGGGAACAGCACAACAGUUCUUGCCAGAGCAUAGUCCUUGCAGCUUGGUUGUCUAGUAUCCGGCAUCAAUUCAUGACCUACCCUCAUCCUCAUACACUCCCAUCAUGGGCCUGGAGGGUUCAUCUCACCGUCUUCAGCACCAGCCUGCUUCCUGGGCCCCAAGAAGGAACCUCAGGGGAAGAGAAAUGGGAAUCAAGGCCCUGACCGUUCUCUGAAGAUCACAAGGAGGAUAAACUUGCUUGCCCCUCUCCUUUGGGCAGGAUCCCAAGGGCCACGGCCCCUUGAUGCCCCUUAAUCUUGGCAUCAACAAGCCCAAAGUCUCUUGCGUGGCAUUGAAGGAACUACAGACCACAGAGGGUGGAGAGCAGGCUUCUCCUCGAGUCAGUGCAGGAGGAUUAAGACUUGGCUGUACCUUUACCCCAUCCUACCAGGUCUGAUACCGUUGCUCCUCUGUGAGGAUUUCCUGAAGAGAAAUUUACAGUGCGUCUUUCAUUCUUAAUCCUGGGAAAUGGUUUUGUUUGGUGACGGCCAUUGACCAUGACUGCAGGGGGACUUUCAGACUAUCUGGGACUGUCACUCCCCAGCAAGACCCUGGGAGCCAUGGGCUGGAGGAAGAGUGACUGUCAGCCAGGAUCCUUUCAUGACAAAGUAGAAGAGAGACACCCUACCUACCCGCUGUCCCUGCUGCAAGUGUGGCUAUUAAACUGCCUUACUGGAA